rnacentral:rRNA from 1 species
AGUGAACGCUGGCGGUAGGCCUAACACAUGCAAGUCGAACGGCAGCACAGUAAGAGCUUGCUCUUACGGGUGGCGAGUGGCGGACGGGUGAGGAAUACAUCGGAAUCUACUUUUUCGUGGGGGAUAACGUAGGGAAACUUACGCUAAUACCGCAUACGACCUACGGGUGAAAGCAGGGGAUCUUCGGACCUUGCGCGAUUGAAUGAGCCGAUGUCGGAUUAGCUAGUUGGCGGGGUAAAGGCCCACCAAGGCGACGAUCCGUAGCUGGUCUGAGAGGAUGAUCAGCCACACUGGAACUGAGACACGGUCCAGACUCCGAAGGGAGGCAGCAGUGGGGAAUAUUGGACAAUGGGCGCAAGCCUGAUCCAGCCAUACCGCGUGGGUGAAGAAGGCCUUCGGGUUGUAAAGCCCUUUUGUUGGGAAAGAAAAGCAGCAGGUUAAUACCCCGCUGUUCUGACGGUACCCAAAGAAUAAGCACCGGCUAACUUCGUG